GUCUACAGCCAUGCUACUCUGAACAUGCCUGAUCCCAUCUGAUCUCAGAAGCUAAGCAGGAUCAGGCCUGGUUAGUAAUUGGAUGGGAGACCACCUAGGAAGACCAGAUGCUGUAGGUG
rnacentral:rRNA from 1 species